UGUGUGUGUGUGUGCACGCGCGCCUUGUCCCGGCGUUCAGAGUGUGACUCCGCUGCUCUACCUAUACCCGUGUGGAUAACACGCCCGCCCGGAGUGAGGGAUGGGCGCAACAAUAACAUCUUUGUUGGCCCUGUCGAAGGCACCCUUAAGAUCAACGAAAGCUCUGCAGGAGUGAGUGAGGCAGGAUGAGUCUGAUGGGUGCUUAGGCUGAGAGUCACGCCGCUGGGUCAGUGAGGGGUACGGCCGGCAGUAUGGUGACUCCUACGGCGGCGGUCAUCACAGGAGUACUCAUGUGACAGGAGCAGCAGUUGGGGGGCGGUCACAGGGGAGGGGGCUGAUGGCGAAACCAUGGGAGGGGGAGAUGGUGCCGGGGAGUGGCAGGGUGGCCGGCCUUAUGCUGCAGGGGACGGCCGCUGCUCCGGACAUCAUGGCGUAUGGAUAACCUGGAGUCCGAAGUGGCACUUAAUAUUCUCAAUGCUGUGGUGACUAAUAAAGAAGAGGCACAGUGGUCAAGACAGGGACUGGGAAGGCAGACAGAAGAGGAGGAUGGACUGGAUGAGUAACAGCAGUACUAGUAGAAGUAGUAGUAGUGAUAGUUUGAUCAUAGUAGAGAUAGCAGUAAAAUAUCUAGUUGUAUUAUUAGAAGUAGUAGCAAUAGUAGAAGUAAUACCAGUAGUAGAAGUAGCUUGGUCAAAGUAGUAAUGGUAAUAGUAGUGAUAGCAGGAUGUUAUUUAACUGUAUAAAAGAAAGAUUAAAUCCAUAUAUAAAACUUAUUGGCAGGACCAGUAGCAGCAGCAGUAGUAGUAUUAGGAACACCGUGGUCAUAAUAACAGAAGUAGAACCAUAACAAUUCACUAUAUAAAACAAAAAGCACCAAACUAAUAUAGCAUCAACAACAACAACAACAGCAACAGUAGCAGUAGUAGUAGUAGUAAUAGUAGCAGCAGUAGUAGUAGUAGUAACAACACUAACUCCAACACUUUACCAACAGGACGACCAGUACUAUGGGUCUGGCUGUGGCAUCCUACCCACCCCCCGGAUGCCCCCAUGCUAACUGCCCUGGCGCGACCCUAACAUUGGCCCUGCACACUCCUGGGGUGUGGUGGGGGGCUUUGUACCAGGGCGGCCGGGGCGGGGGCGGGGUAGAGCAACAGGACUGGGGUACAAGAUGAAGAAAACGUUGCCGGCUAAGAAGAAAAUAGGAGCUAAGGAGGUUAAGACAAGUGGUGGUGGUGGUGGUGGUGCUGGUGGUGUGAAACCGAGGAUAAGACUGUAUCAUCAGUCUGAUGAUAUUUUGAAUAUCAAUUAUUUAACUUCUGCAACACCUGAGGACAAGACAGGAGCCAGCUCCUCCCAGAAUGAGCCCACACCUGCACCUGAGGACACACCCACACCUGCACCCAAGCCUUCACCCACCCCCAGCACCCACUCCAGCAUCCAGCACAGCCCAGGGGAAGGCCCAGGGCAGGCAGCCAAGGGCCGAGGCAGGGGCAGGGGUGUGGCGUGGGGGAGGAGAGUGUGAAGUGUGUGGGUUAGGUUUGUAUGUGGUACUUUGUCUGGGCUGCUCCAUAUGUGGGAGAGCUCGGUUGGUGUAGAGAUGGAUAGAUAGAUGUGUGUGUGUGUGUAUGUGUGUGUGUGUGUGUGUGUGUGUGUGUGUGUGUGUGUGUGUGUGUGUGUGUGUGAGGGAUUUGUACUUCAUUCAAGCAUCUUUUAUUUUUACUACUGCUACUAUCUUGUUCACUACUGGAAGAUUAGUACUAAGAUGUGAUUCUUGUUAUUUUUAAGGGUAUUAUUCCAAUGUUUUUUGUAUGAUUGCAUCUCAUUCCUGUUGUACUUGAGAGAGAGAGAGAGAGAGAGAGAGAGAACAGGCCCCAUUGCACAAACUAAUGAUAAAAAAAACUCACAACCAUUCCAAAAAGUAUAAAUAUGUUAGUUUUGUCAGUAGAUUUUGCAAGAAAGGAAAUUUGAAAUACAGGAGUGUGUGGGAGAGGCAAAGGAUAUGUAGGACGGCAGAUUAGUGUGUGAAGGAUGUGUAGGAGAGGCUGAGGAUAUCCUGUACACUGUGUCAGGAUGGUUAAGGGUGAUUUGGAAGGAAGCUAGUGUGUGAAGGAUGCAUUAGGUAGGAUGUGUAGUAGUGGGUACAAUGUGUUAAGAAUGAUAUGUAUGUUACAGGAGAUAAGGAUGUGUAUUUUCACCACAAGUAUGUGUACAGAUUGGUGUUAACACAGUAGGAAGGUUUGAUGAAGCUGGACCAUCAUUCCUUGUGUUGUCUUAAUAAAUGUAUGCAAACUGA